GACGGGGGGGGCAAGUGUUCUUCGGAAUGACUGGGCGUAAAGGGCACGUAGGCGGUGAAUCGGGUUGAAAGUGAAAGUCGCCAAAAAGUGGCGGAAUGCUCUCGAAACCAAUUCACUUGAGGGAGGUAGGGGCGAGCGGAACUGAUGGUGGAGCGGUGAAAUGCGUUGAUAUCAUCAGGAACUCCGGUGGCGAAGGCGGCUCGCUGGACCUUUUCUGACGCUGAGGCGCGAAAGCUAGGGGAGCAAACGGG
rnacentral:rRNA from 1 species